AUACGGAGGAUCCGAGCGUUAUCCGGAUUUAUUGGGUUUAAAGGGUGCGCAGGCGGCCAUUUAAGUCAGCGGUUAAAUCGUGGGGCUCAACCCCAUUCUGCCGUUGAUACUGGGUGGCUUGAUUGCGGUCGAGGUUGGCGGAAUUCGUUGUGUAGCGGUGAAAUGCAUAGAUAUGACGAAGAACACCGAUUGCGUAGGCAGCUGACCAGACCGCAAAUGACGCUCAUGCACGAAAGUGCGGGGAUCGAACAGGAUUAGAUACCCUGGUAGUCCGCACAAUAAACGAUGAAUACUUGUUUUCGGCGAUAUAAUGUCGGAGGCAAAGCGAAAGCGAUAAGUAUUCCACCUGGGGAGUACGCCGGCAACGGUGAAACUCAAAUGAAUUGACGGGG
rnacentral:rRNA from 1 species